UGGGGAAUCUUGGACAAUGGGCGCAAGCCUGAUCCAGCCAUGCCGCGUGAGUGAUGAAGGCCCUAGGGUUGUAAAACUCUUUCGUGGGGGACGAUAAUGACGGUACCCCAAGAAGAAGCUCCGGCUAACUUCGUGCCAGCAGCCGCGGUAAUACGAAGGGGGCUAGCGUUGUUCGGAUUUACUGGGCGUAAAGCGCGUGUAGGCGGGCUGGAAAGUUGGGGGUGAAAUCCCGAGGCUCAACCUCGGAACUGCCUCCAAAACUUCCAGCCUGGACUCAAGCAGAGGCAAGUGGAAUUGCGAGUGUAGAGGUGAAAUUCGUAGAUAUUCGCAGGAACACCAGUGGCGAAGGCGACUUGCUGGGCUUGUAGUGACGCUGAGACGCGAAAGCGUGGGGAGCAAA
rnacentral:rRNA from 1 species